rnacentral:tRNA from 1 species
GAGAGAGGCCUGUAGCACUAGAGACUGCUAAUCCCUACUUCCACGGCUAAAUUCCGUGGCUCACUCG